UACGGGGGGAGCAAGCGUUGUUCGGAUUUACUGGGCGUAAAGGGCGCGUAGGCGGCCUCUGCAAGUCGACUGUGAAAUCUCCGGGCUUAACCCGGAAAGGUCAGCCGAUACUGCAGGGCUAGAGUGCAGAAGGGGCAACUGGAAUUCUCGGUGUAGCGGUGAAAUGCGUAGACAUCGAGAGGAACACCUGCGGCGAAGGCGGGUUGCUGGGCUGACACUGACGCUGACAGCGCGAAAGCUAGGGGAGCGAACGGG
rnacentral:rRNA from 1 species